UAGAGUUUGAUCCUGGCUCAGAAUGAACGCUGGCGGCGUGCUUAACACAUGCAAGUCGAACGGUAACAGCAGAGCUUGCUCUGGCUGACGAGUGGCGCACGGGUGAGUAAUAGAUAGAUAAUGUACCCCUUAGCCUGGGAUAGCCACUGGAAACGGUGAUUAAUACUGGAUACGCCUUUUUAGCGUAAGCUAAUUUGGGAAAGGUCUUUCGCUAAGGGAUCAGUCUAUCUCCCAUCAGUUAGUUGGUGAGGUAAGAGCUCACCAAGACGAUGACGGGUAGCGGGUUUGAGAGGAUGAUCCGCCACACUGGAACUGAGACACGGUCCAGACUCCUACGGGAGGCAGCAGUGAGGAAUAUUGCACAAUGGGGGGAACCCUGAUGCAGCAACGCCGCGUGGAGGAUGACGCAUUUCGGUGUGUAAACUCCUUUUAUCAGAGAAGAACAUGACGGUAUCUGAUGAAUAAGCUCCGGCUAACUCCGUGCCAGCAGCCGCGGUAAUACGGAGGGAGCAAGCGUUAUUCGGAAUCACUGGGCGUAAAGGACGCGUAGGCGGGUUAGUAAGUCAGGUGUGAAAUCCUACAGCUCAACUGUAGAACUGCACUUGAAACUACUGACCUAGAGUAUGGAAGGGGCAGAUGGAAUUAGUGGUGUAGGGGUAAAAUCCGUAGAUAUCACUAGGAAUACCGAAAGCGAAGGCGAUCUGCUGGGACAUUACUGACACUGAGGCGCGAAAGCGUGGGGAGCAAACAGGAUUAGAUACCCUGGUAGUCCACGCCGUAAACGAUGAGAACUAGCCGUUGGGAAUCUUAGAAUUCUUAGUGGCGCAGCUAACGCGUUAAGUUCUCCGCCUGGGGAGUACGGCCGCAAGGCUAAAACUCAAAGGAAUUGACGGGGGCCCGCACAAGCGGUGGAGCAUGUGGUUUAAUUCGAUGCAACGCGAAGAACCUUACCUACCCUUGACAUCCUCGGAACUUGUCAGAGAUGACUUGGUGCCUUCGGGAACCGAGAGACAGGUGCUGCAUGGCUGUCGUCAGCUCGUGUCGUGAGAUGUUGGGUUAAGUCCCGUAACGAGCGCAACCCUUAUCCUUAUUUGCCAGCACGUAAUGGUGGGAACUCUAAGGAGACUGCCGGUGACAAACCGGAGGAAGGUGGGGAUGACGUCAAGUCCUCAUGGCCUUUAUGGUCUGGGCUGCACACGUCCUACAAUGGCAUGUACAAAGGGAAGCAACCUCGCGAGAGCAAGCAAAUCCCAGAAAGCAUGCCCCAGUUCGGAUUGCAGGCUGCAACUCGCCUGCAUGAAGCCGGAAUCGCUAGUAAUCGUGGAUCAGCAUGCCACGGUGAAUAUGUUCCUGAGCCUUGUACACACCGCCCGUCAAGCCACGAAAGUGGGGAGGGCUUAAAGUCGCUGAGCAAACCUUCGGGGUGCAGGCGCCUAGAGUCAACUCCGCGAUUGGGACUAAGUCGUAACAAGGUAGCC
rnacentral:rRNA from 1 species